GGGGGUGCUUGGUUUCGACAGGGAUAGAGUGGGUUAUCAAUGCAAGUCGAGGAGUCAACCUAUCUCGUAAAAAUGGUUGAAAGCAAUAAUUGCAAACGAUAAUUACGCAUUAGCUGCAUAAAGCCAGCUACGGUCUUUCGAGGAUGGCAACAUGCCUUAAAAAGAUUGUCAUACAUUGUUGCUAUUCUAAACAAAUGUCUGGGUGUUUAGGAGAAAUUUUCAGGCUUUGUAAAGUAAAAUUUUGAUUGUUUUAUAUGCUUUCCGAGAAAUAAAAACAACUAAGCUUGUAGAUUUGGUAAUUGACAUAUCUUUGGACGCGGGUUCGAUCCCCGCCACCUCCACCA
rnacentral:tmRNA from 1 species